GACAGAGGUCCCGAGCGUUAGGCGGAAUCACUGGGCUUAAAGCGUGUGUAGGCGGAUUUGUAAGUACCUUGUGAAAUCCCACGGCUCAACCGUGGAACUGCUCGGUAUACUGCUUAUCUUGGGCCAUCUAGGGGCUAGCGGAACAAACGGUGGGGCGGUGAAAUGCGUAGAUAUCGUUUGGAACGCCAAUGGUGAAAACAGCUAGCUGGGGAUGUGCCGACGCUGAGACACGAAAGCCAGGGGAGCAAACGGG
rnacentral:rRNA from 1 species